GGCUGCAGUCCAGCUAAUCCAACAAUGGCUGUCUGUGAAUGGAAAGUCCAAGAAUCUAGUAGUUGCUCAGUCCCACAGGGCUGGGUGUCUCAGCUGGUCUUCUAUGUAUGCUGGAAUCCUGAAGAAGUAGGCUCCAAUGCCACUGAAGGAAUGGAUGUGCUGACAAGGUGAGAGCAAGCAAGCAGGCAAAGAGAAAUGAAUCCUUCCUUCUUCCAUAUCCUUAUAUAGGCUUCCAACAGAAGGUGUGGUCCAGAUUAAAGGUGUGUCUUCCCAUAUCAAGAUCUGGAUUAAAAGUGUGUGUAAUCCUGCCUCAAGAUCCGGAUCAAAAGCCUGUGUCUUCCAGCUUCAAGAUGCAGAUCAAAGGAAUGUUGUCUUCCUGCCUCAAGAUCUGGAUCACAGGCUCGCGGCAGUGGACCCAGUUCCAACCUCAGAAGCUGCACAGCUCUUAUGCCUACUCAGCAUUGGACGGAGACACCUUUCCUUGGACAGCCUCAGGGUCUUCUCUUAUUACUUCUGCCACACUGCAUACUCCAGGCCUGUGAGCUUCUGAGAGUCCCCUCUCCCUUCCCUCAUCUCACCGUAGGAGCCCUGGGAUUAUAGCUG